rnacentral:piRNA from 1 species
UGACCGAAAGCAACCGCGGAAGGAGUUUA